rnacentral:rRNA from 1 species
GACGAACGCUGGCGGCGUGCUUAACACAUGCAAGUCGAACGGAAAGGCCCUGCUUGCAGGGUACUCGAGUGGCGAACGGGUGAGUAACACGUGGGUGAUCUGCCCUGCACUUCGGGAUAAGCCUGGGAAACUGGGUCUAAUACCGGAUAGGAGCCAUUUUUAGUGUGAUGGUUGGAAAGUUUUUUCGGUGUAGGAUGAGCUCGCGGCCUAUCAGCUUGUUGGUGGGGUAAUGGCCUACCAAGGCGGCGACGGGUAGCCGGCCUGAGAGGGUGGACGGCCACAUUGGGACUGAGAUACGGACCAGACUCCUACGGGAGGCAGAAGUGGGGAAUAUUGCACAAUGGGCGCAAGCCUGAUGCAGCGACGCCGCGUGGGGGAUGACGGCCUUCGGGUUGUAAACUCCUUUCGCUAGGGACGAAGCUUUUUGUGACGGUACCUAGAGAAGAAGCACCGGCUAACUACGUG